rnacentral:tRNA from 1 species
UAGCUGAAUGGUUAAGCUGUCCGCUUUGUAAGCGGAUGAUCAUGGGUUCGAUUCCCAU